rnacentral:lncRNA from 10 species
UGCGGCGUGUUCUCGCUCAGCUCUCGCUUGAUCUGCGGGCAUGAGGAAACUGAGGUCCAGGGGACUGGGGACGGGCCCCCCCGCUCCACCCGCGGUGUUCCUCUUUCACCGCCUUAGCCGCCGAGGUGGUGGGUGGACUUGAUCCAAAACCCCGAAGGGGAGCAGGAAUCCGGGAAGGGGAAACCGGGCCAGACUAGGAUCGGGACACAAAAGGAGGCCACCCCGGGGCUCAGCCUGAAUUCUAACCUAGCGCCAAGCCCUGGACUCAGCCAGAGAAACCCAGGUCGGAAAGCACCUUUGAAUGCCCCAGGGGACAUUGACCCGAUGGGGAAGGAGGCCUGGAGAGGGAAGUGACCUACCCCAGGGACAUGCAGCCUGUGACCAGAGCCCAGGCCUCCUGGUCCCAGCCCAUGGCUGUGGCCCUUCCCUUUGGCAUCAUGAAGGCCUGGUGCCUGCUGAGCCACCCAGGGGAUUCCAGGAAAGAAGGGGAAGUUGGGAUGAGGAGGCUCUGCAUGGGCAGGGAGGGAGGGCUUCACUGGGUUGACAGAGGCUGCCUCCUCACCUUUAGAGCUUUGCUGGAUAGGGGAUCCACAGACAUGUUUGCAGAAGGUGCCCUCUGGGCUGCAGACCUAGGGUAGAAAGGAGGUCAAAGUCACUGUUUUGUUUUUGGUUUCCCAUUUAGAAUAAAAUCCAAACUCACUACCUUGCCAUUCAAGGCCUCUGCUAUCUUAGAACUGAUUCAUACCUGCCACCUUCCUCUCUCCACAUUGGUCCACAGGCCUCCUUGAAUGGCUCCUUCCAGCCGCGGGAGCUGUGCACAGGCUGUGCCUGUCACCACGCCCAGCUAAUUUUUUGUAUUUUUAGUUUAUUUUUAUUUUUAGAGACAGGGUUUCGCCAUGUUGGCCAGGCUGGUUUUGAACUACUGACCUCAGGUGAUCCACCCGCCUCAGCCUCCCAAAGUGCUGGACAGGUGUGAGCCACUGUGCCCAGCCAAUUUUUCAGAACUUUUCUUAAAGUAUAACCUACAUACAGAAAAGUACACACAGCAUAUGUGCACCAGUAAAUGCCUUUACACAAAGCCCAUCCAGCACCCCGUAAGAUACAACAUCAGCCAGUCCCCUCUCUCCCCAGGCCUCCUUCAUCUAGACCUCUGUUUUGGGAAAGUUUUCCCAACCUCCUGGGGGCUGCCCCAUACUAACUCAGCAUGCCCUAGGCAGAUGGGGCAGCCAUCCCUAGACC